GCGAGUAGAGUGGCGGAAGGGCGAGGAAUACAUGGGUAACGUACCCCAAGGACGAGGACAGCCCCGGGAAACCGGGGAUAAUACUCGAUGUGACCACAUUGACUACGGACUUGGUGGUAAAAGGACGGGGAUCCUUCGGGACCUGUUGCCUUGGGAGCGGCCCAUGUCCUAUCAGCUUGUUGGUGAGGUAACGGCUCACCAAGGCGACGACGGGUACCGGGGCUGAGAGGUUGACCCGGCGCAUUGGGACUGAGACACUGCCCAGACUCCUACGGGAGGCUGCAGUAACGAAUAUUCCGCAAUGGACGCAAGUCUGACGGAGCGACGCCGCGUGUGGGAAGAAGCCCUUCGGGGUGUAAACCACUGUCAGGGACUACCAAGCAACCGGGGCGAAUACCCCCGGAAGUUGAGGCGUCCCAAAGGAAGCCACGGCUAACUUCGUGCCAGCAGCCGCGGUAAGACGAAGGUGGCAAGCGUUGUUCGGAAUCACUGGGCUUAAAGCGCGCGUAGGCGGGCCGUCAAGCGUCUUGUGAAAGCCCUCGGCUCAACCGAGGAAUUGCUUGGCGAACUGACGGUCUUGAGGCAGGCAAGGGCGAGUGGAACUCUUGGUGGAGCGGUGGAAUGCGUAGAUAUCAAGAGGAACGCCGGUGGCGAAAGCGACUCGCUGGGCCUGUCCUGACGCUCAGGUGCGAAAGCCAGGGGAGCGAACGGGAUUAGAUACCCCGGUAGUCCUGGCUGUAAACGAUGUCCACUAGGUUGGAGGGUCUCUGACGGCUUUCCGGCCGAAACAAAAGCGUUAAGUGGACCGCCUGGGGAGUACGGUCGCAAGGCUAAAACUCAAAGGAAUUGACGGGGGCUCACACAAGCGGUGGAGCAUGUUGCUUAAUUCGAUGCAACGCGAAGAACCUUAUCCUGGGCUUGACAUGUUCGGAUGCCCCCCUGGAAACAGGGUUCGGCUGCCCUUCGGGGUGAAACGAUCACAGGUGCUGCAUGGCUGUCGUCAGCUCGUGUCGUGAGAUGUUGGGUUAAGUCCCGUAACGAGCGAAACCCCUAUCGCUAGUUGCCAGCGCGUAAUGGCGGGGACUCUAGCGAGACUGCCGGUGUGAAACCGGAGGAAGGUGGGGAUGACGUCAAGUCCUCAUGGCCUUUAUGCCCAGGGCUGCAAACGUGCUACAAUGGCCGGUACAAACCGACGCGAGGCUGCGAGGCGGAGCAAAUCGGAAAAAGCCGGCCCCAGUUCGGAUUGCAGUCUGCAACUCGACUGCAUGAAGUUGGAAUCGCUAGUAAUCGCGUAUCAGCAACGACGCGGUGAAUGUGUUCCUGAGCCUGUACACACCGCCCGUCAAGUCAUGGAAGCCGGGAGUACC
rnacentral:rRNA from 1 species